GACGAACGCUGGCGGCGUGCCUAAUACAUGCAAGUAGAACGCUGAAGGAGGAGCUUGCUUCUCUGGAUGAGUUGCGAACAGGUGAGUAACGCGUAGGUAACCUGCCUGGUAGCGGGGGAUAACUAUUGGAAACGAUAGCUAAUACCGCAUAAUAGUAGAUGUCGCAUGACAUUUGCUUAAAAGGUGCAAUUGCAUCACUACCAGAUGGACCUGCGUUGUAUUAGCUAGUUGGUGAGGUAACGGCUCACCAAGGCAACGAUACAUAGCCGACCUGAGAGGGUGAUCGGCCACACUGGGACUGAGACACGGCCCAGACUCCUACGGGAGGCAGCAGUAGGGAAUCUUCGGCAAUGGACGGAAGUCUGACCGAGCAACGCCGCGUGAGUGAAGAAGGUUUUCGGAUCGUAAAGCUCUGUUGUAAGAGAAGAACGAGUGUGAGAGUGGAAAGUUCACACUGUGACGGUAUCUUACCAGAAAGGGACGGCUAACUACGUG
rnacentral:rRNA from 1 species